UUGAAAGACCAGUUCCCGUACGAUCAUCGAAGUUAAGCAACGUUGAGCCUAAUCAGUACCUAGAUGGGUGACCGCUUGGGAAUACCAGGUACAGU